AGAGAUGGAUUGGUGCCUUCGGGAACUCUGACACAGGUGCUGCAUGGCUGUCGUCAGCUCGUGUCGUGAGAUGUUGGGUUAAGUCCCGUAACGAGCGCAACCCUUGUCCUUAGUUACCAGCACGUUAUGGUGGGCACUCUAAGGAGACUGCCGGUGACAAACCGGAGGAAGGUGGGGAGUGACGUCAAGUCAUCAUGGCCCUUACGGCCUGGGCUACACACGUGCUACAAUGGUCGGUACAAAGGGUUGCCAAGCCGCGAGGUGGAGCUAAUCCCAUAAAACCGAAUCGUAGUCCGGAUCGCAGUCUGCAACUCGACUGCGUGAAGUCGGAAUCGCUAGUAAUCGUGAAUCAGAAUGUCACGGUGAAUACGUUCCCGGGCCUU
rnacentral:rRNA from 1 species